rnacentral:rRNA from 1 species
UAGGGAAUCUUCGGCAAUGGACGAAAGUCUGACCGAGCAACGCCGCGUGAGUGAAGAAGGUUUUCGGAUCGUAAAACUCUGUUGUUAGAGAAGAACAAGGACGUUAGUAACUGAACGUCCCCUGACGGUAUCUAACCAGAAAGCCACGGCUAACUACGUGCCAGCAGCCGCGGUAAUACGUAGGUGGCAAGCGUUGUCCGGAUUUAUUGGGCGUAAAGCGAGCGCAGGCGGUUUCUUAAGUCUGAUGUGAAAGCCCCCGGCUCAACCGGGGAGGGUCAUUGGAAACUGGGGGACUUGAGUGCAGAAGAGGAGAGGGGAAUUCCAUGUGUAGCGGUGAAAUGCGUAGAUAUAUGGAGGAACACCAGUGGCGAAGGCGGCUCUCUGGUCUGUAACUGACGCUGAGGCGCGAAAGCGUGGGGAGCAAACAGG